GGAUCGUGGCAUAGUGGUAGAGUGACUGCUUGACAUGCAGAAGGUGCCAGGUUCAAUCCCUAACAUGUCCA
rnacentral:tRNA from 1 species